UAACACAUGCAAGUCGAACGGUCUCUUCGGAGAUAGUGGCGGACGGGUGAGUAACGCGUAAGAAUCUACCUACAGACUCGGGACAACAGUUGGAAACGACUGCUAAUACCGGAUAUGCCCUCGGGUGAAAGAUUUAUCAUCUGUAGAUGAGCUUGCGUCCGAUUAGCUAGAUGGAGUGGUAAAGGCACACCAUGGCGACGAUCGGUAACUGGUCUGAGAGGAUGACCAGUCACACUGGGACUGAGAUACGGCCCAGACUCCUACGGGAGGCAGCAGUGGGGAAUUUUCCGCAAUGGGCGAAAGCCUGACGGAGCAAUACCGCGUGAGGGAAGAAGGUCUGUGGAUUGUAAACCUCUUUUGUUAGGGAAGAUAAUGACGGUACCUAACGAAUAAGCAUCGGCUAACUCCGUGCCAGCAGCCGCGGUAAGACGGAGGAUGCAAGCGUUAUCCGGAAUUAUUGGGCGUAAAGCGUACGUAGGCGGUUUUAUAAGUCUGUUGUCAAAGCCCGAGGCUUAACCUUGGAAAGGCAAUGGAAACUGUAAGACUAGAGAGAGAUAGGGGCAGGAGGAAUUCCAGGUGUAGCGGUGAAAUGCGUA
rnacentral:rRNA from 1 species